rnacentral:rRNA from 1 species
CCUACGGGUGGCAGCAGUGGGGAAUAUUGCACAAUGGGGGAAACCCUGAUGCAGCGACGCCGCGUGAGUGAAGAAGUAAUUCGUUAUGUAAAGCUCUAUCAGCAGGGAAGAAAAUGACGGUACCUGAGUAAGAAGCACCGGCUAACUACGUGCCAGCAGCCGCGGUAAUACGUAGGGGGCAAGCGUUAUCCGGAUUUAUUGGGUGGAAAGGGAGCGUAGACGGCAGUGCAAGUCUGGAGUGAAAGGCGGGGGCUCAACCCCCGGACUGCUCUUGAAACUGUACGGCUGGAGUGCAGGAGAGGUAAGUGGAAUUCCUAGUGUAGCGGUGAAAUGCGUAGAUAUUAGGAGGAACACCAGUGGCGAAGGCGGCUUACUGGACUGUAACUGACGUUGAGGCUCGAAAGCGUGGGGAGCAAACAGGAUUAGAUACCCGUGUAGUC